GGGAUUGCCUCAGUAACGGCGAGUGAAGCGGCAAUAGCUCAAAUUUGAAAUCUGGCCCCUUCGGGGUCCGAGUUGUAAUUUGUAGAGAGUGUUUCGGGUGAGAUCACGGUCUAAGUCCAUUGGAACAUGGCGUCAUAGAGGGUGAGAAUCCCGUAUGUGACUGUGGAUCGAGCCCAUGUGAAGCCUCUUCGACGAGUCGAGUUGUUUGGGAAUGCAGCUCAAAAUGGGUGGUAAAUUUCAUCUAAAGCUAAAUACUGGCUGGAGACCGAUAGCGCACAAGUAGAGUGAUCGAAAGAUGAAAAGCACUUUGGAAAGAGAGUCAAACAGUACGUGAAAUUGUUGAAAGGGAAGCGCUUGCAACCAGACCUGUCCGUAGGUGAUCAGCCGCUGUUCUCAGUGGUGCACUCGCUCUGCGAUCAGGCCAGCAUCGGUUCGGGCGGUCGGAUAAAGGCCUUGGGAAUGUAGCUUCUUUCGGGGAGCCUUAUAGCCCUCGGUGCAAUGCGGCCAGCCGGGACCGAGGACCGCGCUUCGGCUAGGAUGCUGGCGUAAUGGUUGUAAGCGACCCGUCUUGAAACACGGACCAAGGAGUCUAACAUCUAUGCGAGUGUUUGGGUGUCAAACCCAUGCGCGGAAUGAAAGUGAACGGAGGUGAGAACCCUUAAGGGCGCAUCAUCGACCGAUCCAGAUGUCUUCGGAUGGAUUUGAGUAUGAGCAUAGCUGUUGGGACCCGAAAGAUGGUGAACUAUGCCUGAAUAGGGUGAAGCCAGAGGAAACUCUGGUGGAGGCUCGCAGCGGUUCUGACGUGCAAAUCGAUCGUCAAA
rnacentral:rRNA from 1 species